UACGGGGGGGGCAAGCGUUGUUCGGAAUUACUGGGCGUAAAGGGUCUGUAGGCGGCCGAUCAAGUCGGAGGUGAAAUCCCUCGGCUCAACUGAGGAAUUGCCUUCGAUACUGUUCGGCUUGAGUCCUGGAGAGGGUAGCGGAAUUCCCGGUGUAGCGGUGAAAUGCGUAGAGACCGGGAAGAACACCAGUGGCGAAGGCGGCUACCUGGACAGGUACUGACGCUGAAGCGCGAAAGCUAGGGGAGCAAACAGG
rnacentral:rRNA from 1 species